rnacentral:rRNA from 1 species
AUUGAACGCUGGCGGCAUGCUUUACACAUGCAAGUCGAACGGUAACAGGGUGCUUGCACCGCUGACGAGUGGCGAACGGGUGAGUAAUGCGUCGGAACGUGCCGAGUAGUGGGGGAUAACGCAGCGAAAGUUGUGCUAAUACCGCAUACGUACUGAGGUAGAAAGUGGGGGACCUUCGGGCCUCACGCUAUUCGAGCGGCCGACGUCUGAUUAGCUAGUAGGUGAGGUAAAGGCUCACCUAGGCGACGAUCAGUAGCGGGUCUGAGAGGAUGAUCGGCCACACUGGGACUGAGACACGGCCCAGAAUCCUACGGGAGGAAGAAGUGGGGGAUUUUGGACAAUGGGCGAAAGCCUGAUCCAGCCAUGCCGCGUGUCUGAAGAAGGCGUUCGGGUUGUAAAGGACUUUUGUCAGGGAGGAAAUCCGUAGUGCUAAUAACACUGGGGGAUGACAGUACCUGAAGAAUAAGCACCGGCUAACUACGUGCCAGCCGCCGCCGUAA